rnacentral:tRNA from 1 species
UUGUGGCUGAGUGGUAAAGCACUUGGCUUUCAAACAAAAGGUUCUCGACGCAGGCUCAAAUCCUGUUAA